CCCCCCCCUCAUUUCAUUAUACACACACAAAUAAACCCCAUAUCACAAACACAUCCGAUCAGAUCCUGUUCCUCUCAUCUCCUUCAUUUCUUUUUAAAACAACCCUAAUACACACACAUAAAACACCUUUCUACACACAAAACCUCAGACAUAACACAAACAAACACCCCUGUCUUCUUAUACCAUGCCCUCUUCCUCUCUGUGUAAACAUAAACGGCCGACCACCGGUGUGAAGCCGGUGCCGGUGCGGUGACAACGACAGAAAACCGGCGACUACCAGUGGUCUCCUCCGAUAACACCCCCUACCCCUCUCGGUCUAUCUCCCCUCUCGUUCUAUACAUUCAAACACACAGAAAUCAGCUCCCAACCCACAUGUUUUACCCCCUAUUAAUCGGACCAACCACCACCAUCUUUUGGUGGUGGCAGACUACAACAGCAACACUACCACCACCACAGGCGGCGGCGCUGUGGUGGUUGGUGUCGGACGAUACAGAAAGCAGAGAGAGAGAGACCGAGAGAGAGAGAACCGGUGUUGAUAGUGAUCGGUGGUACUCGUCUCGGACCGGUGGUCCUAGCUUCAGACCGUCGGGUUUCACGAUGACACUGAAGACGAUGACAGAGAAUGGAUGAUAAGCAUGCUGCUGAAGAUGUCGGUGGUGGUUCGACGCGUUGACCGGAGCUGACUGAGGUCCGACAGCUGCUGAUGCCCGCUGGUGGCCGAGGCCACUGCCAGCGACAUCAGCUGAAGUAAUGAAGCUAUUCAGAUGGUUUCAAGUCUAGAUUGGGUUACGUUUCAUUAUUCGGGUCAACAGCUCGGGUCAACGGUCACAGGCUAGUCAACUCGGUCAACAGUCAAAGUUUGGUCAUCGGCUCGGGUCAACAGUGGACAAGUUUGUUUCAGGUCAAGCAUGGUCAACGGCUCCAACACGGGUUCAGAUUCGGCUCGGUUCUGGUCAGAUUUAACUCAGCGAGUCAACCCGGGUCAACUUAGUCCGUGUUUCGACAUGAAGACUUGGUAAAAACUAAUGACACGUUUAGUAUUUUCGUGAUUUUUACUUACGUGAUAACGAGCUCGAACCAAACAAAAUAACGAAAGUAAUAGUUAAAGAAUACUUUGAUUUAUUAUUUCGUUUUUAUAAAUUGAUGAUACGUAAUUAUUGUUGA